rnacentral:lncRNA from 1 species
GUGUGCCCCUGCUGGAUUCUGCUUCUAUGAGGGAGGCAGCAAGGAGUUGGGACUUCACAGGUGAAAGGACUUGCCAGGUUUUGUUCAGGUUUAGCACAAGCUGUGAUGAAUAUCUUCAAGCCUCUGCUUCCUGCUGUGGAAUUGUUGCCAAAGGACACAUUCCCAGAUGGGAUUACUGAGUCAGAGGAAGUGGACAUUGAGUGGCUCUCAACAGACAGGCUGUGUUGCUCUCACAGUGCCCAGCUUCCCAUGGGUGGCCAGCCGAAUGCAUUAUGGGAGAAAGCAGGUCUCGUGGAUAAUAUUUCUGAAGAUCGGAGCAGGUUGCCAGGUCCACGUCGGCCAUGACUGCAGCACGCUCCGGAGGCAGCAGGGGGCACCCUGGAGCUUCGCAUCCUCCUUCAGGCCCGCGGCAUCUCCCCUGGCUCCACCAUCCCCAGGUGUCUCAGGUUGGACGCACGG